AAAUCCUCAACCUUCUUCUCUUUCUCUUUGAUUGGGGGAAGGCUUGGACUUUGGAGGCUUCUGCUGGCCUCUCUUGAAGCCAGCUCCUCUUAAAUGCAUUAGCGGGGGUUUCUUUUGGUCAAUCCUCGACGUGAUAAGAUCCUUUCUACGUUCGGGGCGUUGGCUUUGAGACCCGCUUCUAAUGGUCUCGCAGAGACGCUCGGUCGAGUCUUGCCCUUUGCUUGGGGGGACUUUGACCUCUAAUGAACCCU
rnacentral:misc_RNA from 1 species